rnacentral:rRNA from 1 species
AUUGAACGCUGGCGGCAGGCUUAACACAUGCAAGUCGAACGAGUGGCGGACUGGUGAGUAAUGCUUGGGAAUCUAGCUUAUGGAGGGGGAUAACUACGGGAAACUGUAGCUAAUACCGCGUACCAUAGGAUGAGCCCACGUGGGAUUAGGUAGUUGGUGGGGGAAAGUCUCACCAAGCCGAAGAUCUCUAGCUGGUCUGAGAGGAUGACCAGCCACACGGGGACUGAGACACGGCCCAGACUCCUACGGGAGGCAGCAGUGGGGAAUAUUGCGCAAUGGGGGCAACCCUGACGCAGCCAUGCCGCGUGAAUGAAGAAGGCCUUCGGGUUGUAAAGUACUUUCAGCGGGGAGGCGUUACCCGCAGAAGAAGCACCGGCUAACUCCGUGCCAGCAGCCGCGGUAAUAC